AUCCAGCUGACCACGAGUCCCAAAUAGGACGAAAUGCGCAUCGUGGAU
rnacentral:hammerhead_ribozyme from 1 species